rnacentral:lncRNA from 1 species
UCUGUGGAGCACUGAUGGAGACCUAAAGCUCACUACGCCAGCCGCCCUGAGGACCGUCGACUUCCACCCACUCCAUGUGCGCGGUGUGACCCAUUCUAAGCCAGGCCGAUCCUCAAUCCAUACACCCGACGUGAUGACGUGACUCUGACGUCAUCCAUCAUCAGGCACUUCGUUGAACGAAUUUGGCGGGAUUGGCGCGUUUACUCUUUCAUCUCAAGAUCCAAAUGAACAAAAUAGAAACAUGGCCGAACAUCAUUCAAUAAACUGAUUUUCUUUG